rnacentral:rRNA from 1 species
AGAGUGAACGCUGGCGGCAGGCCUAACACAUGCAAGUCGAACGGCAGCACAGGAGAGCUUGCUCUCUGGGUGGCGAGUGGCGGACGGGUGAGGAAUACGUCGGAAUCUGCCUAUUUGUGGGGGGAUAACGUAGGGAAACUUACGCUAAUACCGCAUACGACCUACGGGUGAAAGCGGAGGACCUUCGGGCUUCGCGCAGAUAGAUGAGCCGAGUCGGAUUAGCUAGUGGCGGGUAAAGGCCCACCGAAGGCGACGAUCCGUAGCUGGUCUGAGAGGAUGAUCAGCCACACUGGAACUGAGACACGGUCCAGACUCCUACGGGAGGCAGCAGUGGGGAAUAUUGGACAAGUGGGCGCAAGCCUGAUCCAGCCAUGCCGCGUGUGUGAAGA